rnacentral:rRNA from 1 species
UUGCUAGAAGAUGACGAGUGGCGGACGGGUGAGUAAUGCUUGGGAACUUGCCUUUGCGAGGGGGAUAACAGUUGGAAACGACUGCUAAUACCGCAUAAUGUCUUCGGACCAAACGGGGCUUCGGCUCCGGCGCAAAGAGAGGCCCAAGUGAGAUUAGCUAGUUGGUAAGGUAACGGCUUACCAAGGCGACGAUCUCUAGCUGUUCUGAGAGGAAGAUCAGCCACACUGGGACUGAGACACGGCCCAGACUCCUACGGGAGGCAGCAGUGGGGAAUAUUGCACAAUGGGGGAAACCCUGAUGCAGCCAUGCCGCGUGUGUGAAGAAGGCCUUCGGGUUGUAAAGCACUUUCAGUUGUGAGGAAAAGUUAGUAGUUAAUACCUGCUAGCCGUGACGUUAACAACAGAAGAAGCACCGGCUAACUCCGUGCCAGCAGCCGCGGUAAUACGGAGGGUGCGAGCGUUAAUCGGAAUUACUGGGCGUAAAGCGCACGCAGGCGGUUUGUUAAGCUAGAUGUGAAAGCCCCGGGCUCAACCUGGGAUGGUCAUUUAGAACUGGCAGACUAGAGUCUUGGAGAGGGGAGUGGAAUUCCAGGUGUAGCGGUGAAAUGCGUAGAUAUCUGGAGGAACAUCAGUGGCGAAGGCGACUCCCUGGCCGAAGACUGACGCUCAUGUGCGAAAGUGUGGGUAGCGAACAGGAUUAGAUACCCUGGUAGUCCACACCGUACACGCUGUCUACUAGCUGUGUGUGCCU